rnacentral:tRNA from 1 species
AGCUCCGAGGUGUUAUCAUGUUAGAUUGCAAAUCUGAAGAAGCAGGUUAGCCGCCUGCCGGGGCUU